CACAGCUCCGGCAGACACGGACAGGUUCAUCCUGACCGGGGAGCGGUGACGAUCCGCCGGCCUCCACGCGGACGUGCCGCGGUGACACGCUGAGCUACGAACGACGGCUACACGUAGAAGCUCCCAGCAUAGAGGCGUAAAGUGCAGGAGAUCCUGCGGGGAGAAAACGCUGUGGCUUCCGAGGAAACGGACCUGCAGCGGCGGAGCGCACCAUGCAGGAGGAGCGGGGGGUGGAGCAGGACCGGUGCAGCUACGCUCCGACCUUCUCUGAUAAAUUAUCACCGCAAAUGCCGCUUGGAAUGAAAACUUUAACCAAUAACGCACCUUGACAAAUCAAAUCUACAUUUCUGAAUUAAAUAAUUUUUGAUGUUAUUGCUUUAGAGAAAGAGUGGCGCUCCCCCGUCGGGAGUCUGUUUUUCGCUCCUGCCGUGUUGACUAAUAUCAGUGCGCCUGAAUACACAGGUGAAAUGCUCAGCAGCCUGCAAUGUGGAAUCAAGUGACCCGAAGAGCAUGGGAUACGCAAUCACAGUGGUUUUUAGAGCCAAAGUGUGAAUGUGGAGGAUCAAAAGUGAAACAGUUUAAAAAUAAACAAGUUGUCAAAUAAAUGUAACUGCAAUACAAGCCUGAAAUAAAAAAUAAAUACAUAAAUAAGAUACUUGUAUUACCAGCGACGUUUCAAUUAAAACCUUAUAAUUAUUUCAGCGAACUGAUUGAUAC